GACCGAUGCCGGAGAAGAAGAGGAAACAGGCCCAGGCCAGGAAGAGCAGCACCGGCCACCUCUGCAUCCUGCAAGGGUGGGAGAAGGAGGGCUCUGUGCCUGCCCCCCUCUGCGCAGACUCCACGUAGCAGCCUGCAUUGGAGCAUCUUCCGCGUCGAAGGAACGAACCCCCACCCUGCUGCCCUACUCCUCCUCACGGACUCCAGUGGGCCGCCUCCAGUGCGACCGAGGGCAGACACCAGCCUGCCACGGCCCAGCACACAACUGCUGCUGAGAAAAGGGCAACGCUUCGGAAAGCCGCCAGGGAGUCACGGCCAUGCAGGGCCUCAGCCCCUGCGCAGAACUCGUUGACCCAUCCCUGCAGGGAAAGGCAACGGUGCAGCAAUUCACGCUUGCCAGGGAGAGCAUGUGUUUCACCUGAUGCCUUGCAAGCUCAUGCGCCCAGUGUCCAGCUAGCCUGGAUAGGGCUGCAAACAGGAUCUCUAAUUCAGAGGAGCUUGACUGGUCCCACGCCCUAGAGGGGGGAUGCUCCAGCCAGGACAGUGGGCUGCAAAGAAGUUAGAUCUGAGACCCAACUUUGUUCUCUGAAGAAGCAGCAGGUGCAUGUGAGACUGGGGCAUUUUCAUAGCAAAGGGAAUCCGGACUUGGUUGCGUUCAGCAAUCGCGCAGGCUGGUGAAGAAGUUCUUUUCAGAUUUCGGAGUCACCAGCGAGAUUUGCAUUUAAACAGCAUUUGCCCCCCACCACUUGUUUCCUCCUGUUUGAGCACUGCUGGUCCCCUGGCUACAAUCAGUGGCUCUGGAUUUUCUACAGAACGGAGGGUGGGGGCAGUUCUAUCCCACUUGUUCUAUCUCUAAGAACUAGGCUUGUAAGAAUUUGAUUGUUGUCGGUAAAUGUCGACUUCACAUCCCCUACUUCCACUGAUCAUAACCGAAACUACAGAUAGGCAACAAGAAAUGUUGCUUGAGGAUGUAUUAGAGGUUGAUUGAAAGAUAUUUACAUUGCAUAUUUUGACCUGUGACAAAUUUGAUAAUUUGUGUUUUAAUGGCUAUCAAACUUUUGGAAUCUCAACAUCUGUCACUGCUGGGGCAGGAGGUGAAGUGCUCAAAUAAAAGAACAGGAGAAUACAAGUAGGAGCCUGGGAAGCGAGGAGGAGGAAAGAAGGAAAAUUGGAAAGGUUUCCGGUCAGGAGAAGUAGGAAAAGAUAGACCUGGAUAUGUGAACAGAAAGAAUGAGAGAAAGGAAGUAGAGGGAAAUCAAAUCUUAGCGGAGUAUCCAGGGAAAUACUGAAAGGAAAUAUAGCUAGUGAAAAAGGGAACUGAUUGUGAACCUGCAUUAGAUGAAAACGGAUCCCGAAAACAGGAAACGAGGCACACAAUCGCACAGGACAUAAAGUGUGUGAAUAGAGAGAAUGACUGUGUGAGCAGCUUGUGACAGAAUGGACAAGCGAGGCCCUACGUGAAGAAACCCACGUGUGGCUGAACUGAGAGCAAAGAGGUACAGCCACAGGAAUGCUGGAUCUAAGGAGAGCUACAAGCCGAAGAGAAGCAAAGGACGAGACAGCAAGACUGGAGCUGGACUUACAGCCAAGGAGAGAAAAACCCUGUUGAGUAAUUUCUUUUGUUCCGGUUAAUAACAACGUAUUUGGUAAUAACUGCGGAGUAAGGAAGAGCUGGGUGGACAAGCUUGCCAAGGUUAAUGUGUUGGUAACUUGGAGUUUAUUAAUAUAAGUAGCAAGUUCUUGAUAAUAUUCUAUUUUAUGCUUCGGCUACAAUUUUUGAGUUUCCCUUAUAAAGUUCUAACAAUCUGAA